rnacentral:lncRNA from 1 species
UCUCUUCACACUCCAAGCACUCGGGGCCACGGGAGGAGCUGGCGGAACAACGGGGUCAUGACGGUGCUUGGUUCGGCGUUCUGGUGGUGAGGGUGACGAGCUCUGCUCUUCACUCUCCUCCUCCUCCUCUUCUGUUUCCUCCUCCAUCUCCCUACUGUCAGAGACGUACACGACACUACCCGCGCUACCCUCCAUGCUGCCUUCUUCUUCCUCGACCGGAUCCCCACCUGAGACUGCAGAAUGACAGUUCGUCCACUCCUGCACAAAACAUAGUCGGCAACGUCAGUCGGCGAGACAAGAAAAGCAAUAAAACUGAGAAGGUUAAAAGCACUCGACAACAUGUACUCACCUCAUUCGGAGGAGGAUUUUGGGCGCGGAAGGCCUUCACCCGCCGAGCUCCCACGGGGUUAUCACAUGUGCCCGUGAUGCUGCGGACCCACGCACCCACGGUC